rnacentral:rRNA from 1 species
GACGACGCUGGCGGCGUGCCUAACACAUGCAAGUCGAGCGGAGAUAAGCGGAUGGUAACUGAAGUUUGUCUUAGCGGCGGACGGGUGAGUAACACGUGGGCAACCUGCCUUGGAGUGGGGGAUAACACCGGGAAAUCGGUGCUAAUACCGCAUAACAUACACAUACUGCAUGGUGAGUGUAUCAAAGGAGCAAUCCGCUUUAAGAUGGGCCCGCGGCUGAUUAGCUAGUUGGUAAGGUAACGGCUUACCAAGGCGACGAUCAGUAGCCGACCUGAGAGGGUGACCGGCCACACUGGAACUGAGACACGGUCCAGACUCCUACGGGAGGCAGCAGUGGGGAAUAUUGCGCAAUGGGGGAAACCCUGACGCAGCAACGCCGCGUGGAGGAAGAAGGUCUUCGGAUUGUAAACUCCUGUCUUCUGGGACGAAGUAUGACGGUACCAGAGGAGGAAGCCACGGCUAACUACGUG